GACGAACGCUGGCGGCGUGCUUAACACAUGCAAGUCGAACGGAAAGGCCCUGCUUUUGUGGGGUUCUCGAGUGGCGAACGGGUGAGUAACACGGGAGUAACCUGCCCUUGACUUUGGGAUAACUUCAGGAAAAUGGGGCUAAUACCGGGUAGGAGCUCCUGCUGCAUGGUGGGGGUUGGAAAGUUUCGGCGGUUGGGGAUGGACUCGCGGCUUAUCAGCUUGUUGGUGGGGUAGUGGCUUACCAAGGCUUUGACGGGUAGCCGGCCUGAGAGGGUGACCGGCCACAUUGGGACUGAGAUACGGCCCAGACUCCUACGGGAGGCAGCAGUGGGGAAUAUUGCACAAUGGGCGGAAGCCUGAUGCAGCAACGCCGCGUGCGGGAUGACGGCCUUCGGGUUGUAAACCGCUUUCGCCUGUGACGAAGCGUGAGUGACGGUAAUGGGUAAAGAAGCACCGGCUAACUACGUG
rnacentral:rRNA from 1 species